GGAAACGGCCGCUCUUGCGGAGGGUUUGACGCCAUGCGUGAGGCGCGCCGAGAUGAUGUCACCACGAGCCUGUUUGGGUCACGUGGGUGAAGAUCGCUGAUGUUUGUUUGUGAGGGGCGCACAGCGAUGAGGCGCUAGUUGGGCGCGCGCCAUGUGGAGCGGCGGCUGUUCGACUGGGCCGUGAGCUCUCUAGGGCAGGGUGUCUCCGUGCCCGGGGGAGCCCAGCUCGAGUUACUGGCGGGUUCUCGGCCGGAGAGGGGCAGCUCGUCCCUGCGGGUGGAGAAGGCGCGAACCACAAAGCGGGUGAUGUACUGUGGCUAUGUGACAUACAUAAUGUGACUGAAAACUCUGAAA